rnacentral:rRNA from 1 species
GGGUGGUAAAUUCCAUCUAAAGCUAAAUACAGGCGAGAGACCGAUAGCGAACAAGUACAGUGAUGGAAAGAUGAAAAGAACUUUGAAAAGAGAGUGAAAAAGUACGUGAAAUUGUUGAAAGGGAAGGGCAUUUGAUCAGACAUGGUGUUUUGCGCCCCUUGCCUCUCGUGGGCUUGGGACUCUCGCAGCUCACUGGGCCAGCAUCGGUUUUGGCGGCCGGAAAAAACCUAGGGAAUGUGGCUCUGCGCCUCGGUGUAGAGUGUUAUAGCCCUGGGGAAUACGGCCAGUCGGGACCGAGGACUGCGAUACUUGUUAUCUAGGAUGCUGGCAUAAUGGUUAUAUGCCGCCCGUCUUGAAACACGGAC